GCGUCGGUACUCAAGUGGUCAACGAGGGCAGACUGUAAAUCUGCUGACUUCGGUCUCCGUUGGUUCGAAUCCAACCCGGCGCA
rnacentral:tRNA from 1 species